rnacentral:rRNA from 1 species
UACGUGCCAGCAGCCGCGGUAAUACGUAGGGGGCAAGCGUUAUCCGGAUUUACUGGGUGUAAAGGGAGCGUAGACGGUGAAGCAAGUCUGGAGUGAAAACCCGGGGCUUAACCCCGGGAUUGCUUUGGAAACUGUUUAACUGGAGUGCAGGAGAGGUAAGCGGAAUUCCUAGUGUAGCGGUGAAAUGCGUAGAUAUUAGGAGGAACACCAGUGGCGAAGGCGGCUUACUGGACUGUAACUGACGUUGAGGCUCGAAAGCGUGGGGAGCAAACAGGAUUAGAUACCC